AAGCACUUUAAGCGAGGAGGAAGGUCAUCAUACUAAUAUUAUGAUGAAUUGACGUUACUCGCAGAAUAAGCACCGGCUAACUCUGUGCCAGCAGCCGCGGUAAUACAGAGGGUGCAAGCGUUAAUCGGAAUUACUGGGCGUAAAGCGCGCGUAGGCGGUUUGUUAAGUCGGAUGUGAAAUCCCUGGGCUCAACCUAGGCACUGCAUCCGAUACUGGCUGACUAGAGUGUGGGGAGAGGAAGGGUAGAAUUCCAGGUGUAGCGGUGAAAUGCGUAGAGAUCUGGAGGAAUACCGAUGGCGAAGGCAGCCUUCUGGCCUAACACUGACGCUGAGGUGCGAAAGCAUGGGGAGCAAAACAGGAUUAGAUACCCUGGUAGUCCAUGCUGUAAACGAUGUCAACUAGCCGUUGGGGUCUUAAGACUUUAGUGGUCGUAGCUAACGCGAUAAGUUGACCGCCGUGGGGAGUACGGUCGCAAGACUAAAACUCAAAUGAAUU
rnacentral:rRNA from 1 species